CAUAAGGGGGAGUUUCCUUGUUGGCAAUAUCUAGAAAUAAUUUUAGUUAUCAUAAGUGAAAGAGAGGAGCGUAGUACUACUGGUAUCUAGUGGGUAGAGGUCAGGGAUACUGUUAAACAUUUUGCAAUGCACAAAACAGCCUCUACAUCAAAGAAUUAUCUGUUCCAAAAUGUCAACGGUGCUGAGAAACUCUAGUUUGAUAAUCUGAUUUUUAAUUAAAGCCAUUAGCCUAAUUUCAUUUAAUAGUUAUGUGAUUAAAUGUAAACCUAGCAUUUGCUAUUUGUUUUCUGUUCAUCCUAUCAGUUCUUUGUUCCUUUGUUGUUUUUUUCUUGCCUUCUAUUGGAUCAAACCAGUAUUUCUUUAGUAUUCUGUUUUCUUCUCCUUUUAUGCCUCUUCACUUAUUGUUUUAAUGUAAAUAUUCUGUUCUUCAAAGUUUUCAUUUAUAUAUUUAUUUAUCAGUAUAGGCACAUUAUUUCCUAUAUUACUCAAUGGGCUAUGGUCCAUUACUGUAAUUUGUUUUGAUACUCAAUUUCCCCAUCUCUGGCCACUGGGAGUUGUUUCAAACUAACUUCUGUGUUUUUUUUAUUUGUUUCUUAUCAUUAUUUGAACACUUCUUCCUUUCUAGGACUAACAUAUUCCAACCUCACCUUGUAUUUCUGCUGCCUCAGCAAAAGUAUUCAGAUGUAAUCAGUUAUUUCUCCAAGGAGCCCUUAUUCCUUUCAGUGGAGAAUAAUAUUCAGAAGCUAAGAUCUGAGAUAUAGUUAUUGCUGGUGAAAAGGAUGUUUAAGCAGAGUGAGAGACUCUCAGCAAAAAAAGGUAACUGAAAGAGUGGUAAGUCAGACAAAGAAGAAAAAUGCCAAAGAAGAGGGUCAAGAACAACUCAUAUGACUCCGAAAUCCCUUACCCACAUUGGAGUUAUAAAAAGUUCAGGAGCUGGAGACAAAAGGCAGGUUCAUAAAGAGGAUUCCUUGGAGAGAGUUGUUAUAAUGCUGUGAGUACCCCCACUGGGAGGGGGUAAUGGGGUGACUACCCCUCCCCUCAAAUCCUAGUGGAAAGGGAUUUAAUUGGGCCCUCAGAGAUUGGUACAUGGCCCUGCAGUUGGCAGGCCCAGUGCACUGGUGUUGAUUCUUGUCUGUGAAACCAGAAGGACCACAGCAUUGGCCAGGCGCUGAGAAAUGAGUUCAAGAGGCAGCUGUGGAUCUGCAUGGGUGCCCAGACUUGCAAGGGCAAAGGUUGUGAGAGGGUUUCCCACAGACCACAGAAGGCCAUGAAUAGAGUGCCAGUAUAUGGCCAUGGGAGGUCCUGCCCAUGAGGGCCACCUGGAACAGCAAACCGACCUCAGUACAGAGAAGCUAGGGUAUCAAAUGAAUUCCUAAAAGCCAUGGAAAGAGUAAGGUAAAGAAGCAACUGCAUACAGGUGGGAGAUCCCCAGUAUCAGCAGUAUUAGUGCAGGAUGCCACUGUAAACAUCAGAAGAUGCAGUCUGCCGGAGCCAGGUUACCAUGGCCCUAGUGAAGUUCAAACUCUUCUGCCUUCCUUAUGCCUCUUUCCUCCCCUCCACCUCUCUUCCAUCCCUUGAGGGGUCAAAGACUGCAAGCUGAAGAAGAAAGAGAAGAAACGAAGCAGCUAUCCCUAUUUCCUUCCCCAGCUAGAGGAGUUAAGAGUAGUUGUAAUUUUGACGAGGUUGGAAUCUUUGCCCUUUACAUGGAAAUGGUCAUUCUCAUUACUACAGUGAGACUGUAUCUUCAAAACAUAACCUGGAAAAAAAAAAAAAAAAAGAAAGUUUGAAUUUUCAGUCAACCUGCCAGAACAACCAUACCUACCAAAUUUAAAGGAACAGUGGGAAAUACAGUUGCUUUAUAACUACACUUUGUAAGUCCUGAUUAUUCAUCAGACCAGUUGCACUACUCUACUUCAGGAAACAAAAAAAGUGCACAGCUUUUCUCCCUUGCUCUUGUGACUUCUCUGUACCCUUUGCCAUCUCGAAAUCCCCAUUGCUUUCAUCUGGUUUUUGUCCCGUCGUCCCAAGGCUGAAUUAUUUCAUUCUACCUAACUCCUGAGUGAUAUUCAAUUUAACAGCUUGCUUGGUUUUCAUUUCUCUCUCUCUCCAAGGGGCUGUCUUGGCUCUUUGCUCCUUUGGGUUCCACACACCUGACCAGCUAAGCUCCUGGGACACCAUAUCCCAAUGUCAGACCCCUCUCACUGUCCAGGAGUAAGGGAAGGGAGUAAUUACCUAACCCUAACAAGAGGAUUGUUCUUCCAAACAACAAAGCCAGGUUAACAACAUUCAAUUGUAAAUGAUACAUUGGAAUUGUGCCUUUUCUACCACACUGGAUUAAAUAAACUUGUCAAAA
rnacentral:lncRNA from 1 species